rnacentral:rRNA from 1 species
UACGAAGGGUGCAAGCGUUACUCGGAAUUACUGGGCGUAAAGCGUGCGUAGGUGGUGAGUUAAGUCUGUCGUGAAAGCCCCGGGCUCAACCUGGGAAUGGCGAUGGAUACUGGCUCGCUAGAGUGCGGUAGAGGGUGGUGGAAUUCCCGGUGUAGCAGUGAAAUGCGUAGAGAUCGGGAGGAACAUCAGUUGCGAAGGCGGCCACCUGGACCAACACUGACACUGAGGCACGAAAGCGUGGGGAGCAAACAGG